rnacentral:rRNA from 1 species
UACGGAGGGUGCGAGCGUUGUCCGGAAUUACUGGGCGUAAAGAGCUCGUAGGUGGUUUGUCGCGUUGUUCGUGAAAUUCCCUGGCUUAACUGGGGGCGUGCGGGCGAUACGGGCAGACUGGAGUACUGCAGGGGAGACUGGAAUUCCUGGUGUAGCGGUGGAAUGCGCAGAUAUCAGGAGGAACACCGGUGGCGAAGGCGGGUCUCUGGGCAGUAACUGACGCUGAGGAGCGAAAGCGUGGGGAGCGAACAGG